CGUGAUCUAUACGCGUUUAAAGCAAUUUUUUAGAACUAAGAACAAAUUUUCACCUCCCUAACUUUUAUCUCAUGAUAGGUCAUUUUAUAAUUUUCCCUUCGAUUAUAGGCAAUUGUUAUAUAUCAUGGACUCUCCUUUCACUAGGUAAAAACCUUGACCAGAAGCAAGGAAGUGCUUGCCCACGGGAAAUACCUUGCUGCUUGCUUAUUGGAAACACCUUGGAUACAAACAAAUGUUCCUUGUAUAAUCUACAUGUGAACCUUGCUUAAUCACAUCAAGACCUACAUAAAAUAAUUUACGAAAACAAAGCUCUUCUUAAUUUUCAAACACAUGUGUAAAAGGUCCACCAUGACUUAACAGCUUACUUUUUUUCGUAAAUUCACUUGAAACCUGAAGAAAUUUAAAAGAAACGUAUAAAUAUUUCCCGUCAAUCAAAGAGAAAGAGGGCCAACUAACUUACUGAUGCCCUUACAGACCUUUAUUAGACCCUUCGGUCUUCAGAAGACUCAUUGGAAACCACCCUUUGUAACUCUAGGCACCAUAGUAUGAACCAUCACCAACCAUCAAACUAUCUCUUUGUAUGAACGAAGAUCAUAAUUGUAACACCCAUAACCUGUAUCCGUCGCUGGAAUAAGGUUACAAGGCAUUACCAUAUAAAACACGGUUCAAAAUAGUCAUAUUACACAUGCUUUAAAAUCCCAUCAUUCGAAACAUAUAUACCUCUUACUCAUAUUAUUCAAAAAUCAAAUUAUAAGAUGACUCAUCACAUUACAAAUUCCAUGCACAUACAUUAAGACAUCCAAGCAUAUUUUACUUCUUAAGCUGAAUAUUAAAUAUAUCAAUUCAUACUUCUAUUCAUGUGCAUAAAACCAAACAAUCCAUAUCGCUCGGCUUAUUGUCCAUUAGAAAAUGCAACAUAAUCAAUUUCACCAAAUAGUCAAGUUUAGCAUAUAAACAUCUUAGCCACUAAUGCAUUUAACCUUAUCAACUAUGUGCCAUUUUUUUUUCUUUAAACUCAACUAAUAAGUCAUUCAUGCCUAACUUUCCAUUUAAGUACAAAACAUGUGUAUGCUUUGCCAUUCAUCUUAUCUUCUAUUUGGCUAGCAAACUAACCAUACAAUUUACACUCAAUUCGCAAGCUAAUUAUUAAGCCUAAAAUACAUAUAAAACCAAUACAUACUUUAUUCACUUGACUAACAUUAGCCAUUUUCCAAGUACUUUAGCCAUUCAAAACAUGCCAAUUCCAUACAGUAUAAAUCAUAUCAAAAUUUCAUAUACACACCCAAUGCAAAUAUUUCAUACUUACAAUAAUAAGUCAAUUACCAUAAUCGAUCAUACCACUAUGUAUACAUAUAACACAUUUUGUAAUUCAAGCAUUAAAACCAUUAGUCCUCUACAUACCGAAUUAUCAAAUAACUUAUCAAAGACACACACACACACACACACAUAUAUAUAUCAUUACGUCUUAUCAAAUUCAUAUACCAAGCAUACCCCACGCCUUUACUAUGACCAAAAUUACUUAAACCUUGGAUCAUUAGCAUUAGAUCAAGCCAUUUUCGCAUGGCUAAAUAUAUAUACAAAAACUAAAUUAAAAACUAGCCUAUACAUGCCACAUAACCAAAAACUCAAAGCUUUAAUUUACCGAAGCCAUAACCGGAUAGUGUGAUCACGACUCCAACGUCUUCCAACCCGAGCAAGUCUUUAGAACUCUAAAAAAAACAUAAGAAAAACACACAGAGUAAGCUAUUACAGCUUAGUAAGUCAUAAGCAAAUAGAUAACUUAACAACAUUAAUUAGUUACAACAAAAUCAAAUCAUGUUUUCAAUAUUCGUAUACAUUUCCAUAAUCGAAAAAUACAUUUAUCAAACACGUACUAUACAUCAAAUCCAUAUUUAACCAAAUACACAUAAGUUUAACAUUUGGCCGAAUGUAUAUAUAUAUAUAUCAAACAAUUUCAUGACAACCAAUAUAUGUACAUACUCACUAAUCACAAAGAUCCGAACGUUUAUAUGCUCAUCAAAUACAUUGAAACAAAUGUUCAUAUAUUUAUCCAUUACAUAUAACCAAAAUCAUAUAUAUAUAUACACCCAAUGCAUAUAAUCACUUAAUUUAAACAGAUUCACUGGCACUUCACCUGCUAGGCUUAUAGCCUGAUUCAGUUCACCGACACUUAGCUUGCUAGGCUUAUAGCCUGAUUCAGUUCACCGGCACUUAGCCUGCUAGGCUAAUAGCCUGAUUCAGUUCACCGGCACUUAGCCUGCUAGGCUUAUAGCCUGAUUCAGUUCACCGGCACUUAGCCUACUAGGCUUAUAGCCUGAUUCAGUUCACCGGCACUUAGCCUGCUAGACGUAAAGUCCAAAACAUUUCACCGGCAAUUAAUCUGAUUGGUACUAAGCUUUAAAAAAAAAUCUCAAUUCACAAAAGUUGUAUCUCAUAUUUGUAUAUAGAAUCCACAUAAAAUUCAGCUCAAUAAUUUAUAAACUAUAUCUUUAAAUAACAUAGAUGUAUAAAGUUCAAACAUCAAUUCCAGCUCAAUAAUUUAAUUAUACAUCCAAACCUAUAUAUAUAUAUAACUUAAUGCAUUAAUCUACUACUAAUAUCAUAUAUUCGAUCAUCUUUUAAUAAUCCAACUAAUAAUUUCAUACUUUCAAUGCUAUUCAAGAACUUUACAUGAAUAUAUACUUGUAUAUUAGCAUAACCGAACCUCGUGUAACCUUGUAUAAUUGUCAUACCUAAAUUCACUAUAAAAUCAUAUACGUGUAUGUAUACCUGAUCAUUCAAAUAUAAUAUAUAUAUAAUUACCAACUCACAUAUACAAAUAUAAGUUACAUAUCUUAAUCAAAUAUAAGAGUUUAUACAUAUAUAUAUUUAUAUACAUAUAUUCGGACCUAAUAUACAUAUAUAUGUAUAUAUCAUACUUACCUUGGAUUAAAACCAAGAAUUUAUACAUAUACAACAUUCAUACUUCCACUAAAUUCAAAAACUAUAUAUAUACAUAUGUAUAUAUAUUCGAUCAUUAUGUAUAUAAUUAUAAAUAUAUAUAUACAUAUUCAUACCUUUAUCUAAAUUCAAGGUUUAUUCAUGCUAUUACAUAUAUUUUUGAAUCUAUCAUAUACAAGUAUAGUUUCUUACCUAAUUUCAUUACAAUAGAUUUUCAUAUAUAUACAUGCCUAUCUGAAUCUCACCUUUACUUAUAUAAAAUUUAAACCUAUAAUUUAACUCAUGAACUUAUACAAGAUUAUACUUGUAUAUUCGAAACUAUCAAAUACUUAUAUAAAAUUUAUACUUAUACUUCAAAUUAUAAACAUUUAAUUACAGCUCAUCAAGUAUACAAUCGAUAUACAUGUAUAAAUAUUGAUUUAUUAACUUUUAAAUUGCUAAUAGACUUACCUCGGAUAUCGACGGACAUAGUCGACUACUUUCGACUUUCCCCGAUCUAAUUCCGUUUUCUUCUGUUCUUGAUUUAAAUAAGUUCAAAUUUAACUAAUUUAACCAAAUAUUCAUUUAAUUAAAUCCAAAAACACAUAAAUGGGUAAAUUACACUUUUUCCCCUAACAUUUCACAUUUUUCACAAACUAGUCCCUAUUUCACAAAAAUACAAAAUAAACAAACUUUCCUUGCACAAUAGCUUGGCCGAAUAUGCACUAAGCUCAUAUAAAUCCAUGCAUGUCAUUUAUUUCACAUUUUAGUCCCUCAAUUUAUUAUUUUUGCAAUUUAGCCUUAAUUACUCAAAAUCAUCAAAAAUUCAAUUUCAACAUAUAUAUAUAUCCAUUUCAUAUAUUUUAUUUUCUAUCAUUAAACAACAAAAUUACAAGCUUUCAACAAUGGCAAAACACAAAAUCAUCAUCAAAUUCAAAAAUUUAAGCAUGAGUCGAGUAGUAUUCGAAACAACGAUCUCAAAAACAUAAAAAUCAUCAAAAACCGAAACCGAAACAUACCUUAAUUUGCUUGAGCAAGGGCCGAAUACCUAGCUUGGUUUUCUUAUUUUCUUUCUCUUUUCAUUCGGCACAAAGAUAAUGAAUAUGACCACUUUCUUAUGUUUUGUUUUUA
rnacentral:lncRNA from 1 species